GAUGAACGCUGGCGGCGUGCCUAACACAUGCCAGUCGAGCGGCAGCGAGGGGUGCUUGCACCCUGUCGGCGAGCGGCGGACGGCUGAGUAACGCGUGGGAACGUGCCCCAAAGUGAGGAAUAACUGCCCGAAAGGGUAGCUAAUACCGCAUAUUAUCUUCGGAUCAAAGGAUUUAUCCGCUUUGGGAGCGGCUCGCGUCGGAUUAGGUAGUUGGUGAGGUAAUGGCUCACCAAGCCGACGAUCCGUAGCUGGUCUGAGAGGAUGACCAGCCAGACUGGAACUGAGACACGGUCCAGACUCCCACGGGAGGCAGCAGUGAGGAAUCUUCCACAAUGGGCGAAAGCCUGAUGGAGCAACGCCGCGUGCAGGACGAAGGCCUUCGGGUUGUAAACUGCUUUUAUAAGUGAGGAAUAUGACGGUAACUUAUGAAUAAGGAUCGGCUAACUACGUG
rnacentral:rRNA from 1 species